rnacentral:lncRNA from 1 species
UAGGAAAACAAAAGUAGCAACGAAGCAAAACUAAAUCCGCAUUAAGAACCAUUAACCAAUCUCAUAUAUAUAUUUUCAUAGCUGGAGGCUCAAGAAUUCCGUCGUCAUUUUUUACCAUUUUGCCACAUACAAACGAGGGAGAUCAGUGUUGAUUAUGAGGUGGAUUGACGGGGAAGAAACCUGUUGUUUGCAAAAGCGUGUGAGAAAUAUGAAGAAAGGCUGAUUCAUCUUUGGUGAAACAAUUGAUUUAGAUAUACAGAUUCAUCAUGCACGCUGUAGAGUAGUUGUUAGGUAGACUAACUAACAACUAGUGGUGGGCAGUGAAGACAACUGAUGCAAUUAAAAAAGUUAACUUUGUGAGAAAUUUGGUAAAAUAAAAUUGAUUUUACCGUUUCCGCUGACAAGAAUAUUGUUCGAUAUGCUUCUCCUCCAUCUAUUUGCCAAAAACCAAAAAAGAAAAGAAAAGAGAGGUCGUAAACUUUGUCCAUAAAUCAAUUAAUCGAACAUCUUAAUUAAAUUCAUAUAUAUAAACUAUAUAGAAUAAAUAAAUUCAAUCCAAUGAACUUUUGCAUGCAACAAACAAAUCAAGAAAUGAAGAUGGAAAACAUCUUAAUACCAAGAUCCAAUAAUAAAUAUUGUUAUUAAGAUCUAAUACAUCUUAAUUAAAUCCAUGUAUGAUAUAUAUCAUUAAUCGGUUUAAGAAUUUCAAAUCUGUAUCAACGGGCCAAAAUCAGGUGAAAAAUAUUUAAAGAAAAAAGGAAAAAAAAAUGAAAAAUAGAUCAGUUAUUAAGAUCUUAAUUCAUCAUCACCAAUCAAACAUGAAGAACGAAAAAAACAUUUUAAAUCCAUAUAUAUCAACUAUCAAGAACAUAAAUAAAUUAAAUCAAGAAAAAGAAGAUCACAUAUAUAUAUGAUCGGAAGUGAAGAGCAAACCUCGGCGGUGGAGGUUCAGGGGGCGGCAUUAGGCGGUGGUGGAGAUCUUCAGGCGAAAAUCUGUAAACCGACUCUGACACGU